rnacentral:lncRNA from 1 species
AUUGGCCCUUGACCAGCCUGAUUGGUUGCAGGAGGGGACCAAUCAGAGGUACCUCCCAUUUUUCAUCUGCAGCCCAAUGCAAAGUAAUGACAUGGAUCUGGAGAGAUUCUCUUAGGAGAGAAUCUGGCUAAGUGUCUAGCAGGAUGAUUGAUUAACAAGAUGUUUUGUUUUCAUCAUCUCAGAGACAGCUGUAUUGAGGUAUAAUUGAUAUGCCAAAUAACUGGACACAUUCAACUUGUGCAAUUUGAUGAGUUUGGAGAUACACAUACAUCUGUGAAACCAUCACCAAAAUCAAGAACAACUUUCUCUGAUCUCUGUGGACAUGCUUAAAAUGGCUGACUCACACAGCAAGACUAUUUAACUGUGCCUAAAAUCAACCCACAUUCAGAUGCUAACUGUAAUCCUAUUCCCUGAUCCAUCAGGAAAAAGAGUCUGAUUGACAUAACUUGUCAAGUGUUCGCCCCAGCUUCUAUCAACUAUGGGGAAGGAAGGGCCAGAAGAGGUGUAACCAUCAUGGCUACCAGAGUACAUGGUUUCCAGGCCAAAUACCACAGUGUUCCAGGCAAGGAUGUGGUCAGUUUCCUUCUCUGCUGGAUCCCAAAGCCCAGGGCAGCUCUUGCACAUAGAUCGUUGUCAUUGGAUUUAAGAGGGCCUACCCUGAUAAUACAGGAUAAACUCCUUCUCCCAAAACCUUUUCUUCUCUCAGAAUCUUUUGGCAGCAAACACAUUCAAGCAUCUUCUAUGUGCCAAGAACUUGCUGGAAAACAUCACAAAAGUUAAUAUUUUCUGGAGAUCAAGGAAUGAAACUCAGCCCUCUGCAAAUGGAACACAAACGCCUGGUACAUGGAUGCUACAAUGAAAAGAAUAUGGGUGCUGAAAUCAGAGAGAAUCAUCCAAGGUGGGUCUCCUCUGUCCUUACAAUCUCCAGUCACACCUUAACCACUUUUCCAGAUGAUCCUUAUGCAUGCUGAACUCUGAGAGCCACCAGUGAAGAAGAUAAGUGACCCAUCUACCUGUAGCUGGAAAAUAAAGGCUCUUUGGGAUUCUUUCCCAUGAGUCUUCAUUUCACCAUAUUGGUGAGAGAAGGCAUUCAGGCCCAAUAAUUAACUGAACAUUAGCUGUGUACCAGACACUGUGGUCGACAUUGAGAUAUAACGGAUUUAAGAAAGUCUUUGUGGCUGUGGUGGCUUCAAAUCACUCCCGAGGCUUUAGAAGAAUAUAAUUGCCGUUCUAAGAAGAAUCUGAGGCCUCUAGGAGAUCUGCCAGUAGUGGCCCCAAUGUAUAACAGCACUAGCUCAGUGAAGAGAGAGAGAAAAGAUCUGAAGAGAGUGGUUGCAGUUUGAGCUCUGUCAAUGGGACAGUCCUGGGCAGGAGACUGGGGAGAAGAGGCGGCUUGCUGGUUUUCCUGAACCACUUCCACCCUGAAAGACUCCUUGCAUACAAUCAUCAGAGAAGAACCGUGGGAACCAAGAACCAUGAGCAGGAGAACCAUGAGCACACUGUUCGCAAUGGCCAAGAUUUGGAGGCAACCUAAGUGUCCAUCGACAGACAAAUGGUUAAAGAAAAUGAGGGAGGAGGAAAAAACCAUGGCUGCGGAGGUGAUUUAAUAUCCUGUUGACUCUGAAGAAAAAUACACUUCUUCAUUAUAAGAGUUUUAUUGCCAAUGACUAGAAGGAAAUGUAAAGGGGACAACACAAGAUGACUAACACAGGAAGUUAUAAAACUCACAGCUCUAACUGUCAUGGCCCUGGGCCCAUGGUGCCUGAAUCCCUCUGGGAGUAUUAAAUGGAAGGCCCCCUGGUACCUGAAUUUUGUUUUAGUUUUCUCUCUCCAUCUCUGUGAUUACACAUAAAAUCAGCCAAGCACCUGCUCCCCUCCAGCCUAGAUAACACAUACCUCCAUGCUAUAAAGGGACAAUUUGACCAAGAGACACCCACCUCACCUGACCACAGAGCUGGAAAAUCUACUAUGUCAGACUUCCAUGCAACCGCUGGUGGGAGAAAGUUUUCACGAGUCUCUCUGGGCCCUUAUCCCUCUCCCCUGUAUUCCCAUCCUUAUCCAAAUCCACAUUUCACCAAACUCCCUAACGCUAAGCAGCUGUUGAAGUUCAGAUCACAGUCUCUGAGGAGCUCCUGGUUUCCCAUGGAAUGUGAUUUGCCUCAUCAUCUUAC